rnacentral:tRNA from 1 species
GGAGAGGUGACUGAGUGGUUUAUAGUGAAGAUCUGCUAAAUCUUUGUAUAGUUUUAAGCUAUACCGUGGGUUCGAAUCCCACUCUUUCCU